CUCAGGAUGAACGCUGCGGCGUGCAUAACAACAUUCUAAGUCGAACGGAGUUAUUGUGAUCGAUCCUUCGGGGUGAAGUUGCUUAACUUAGUGGCGGACGGGUGAGUAACGCGUGAGCAACCUGCCUUUGUGAGGGGGAUAACGUCUGGAAACGGACGCUAAUACCGCAUGACGUAUGAGAUUCGCAUGUUUUUCAUACCAAAGAUUUAUCGCACAAAGAUGGGCUCGCGUCUGAUUAGGUAGUUGGUGAGGUAACGGCUCACCAAGCCGACGAUCAGUAGCCGGACUGAGAGGUUGAACGGCCACAUUGGAACUGAGAUACGGUCCAGACUCCUACGGGAGGCAGCAGUGGGGAAUAUUGGGCAAUGGGCGCAAGCCUGACCCAGCGACGCCGCGUGAGGGAUGAAGGUCUUCGGAUUGUAAACCUUUGUUGACAGGGACGAUAAUGACGGUACCUGUCGAGGAAGCCACGGCUAACUACGUG
rnacentral:rRNA from 1 species